AGCGAACGCUGGCGACAGGCCUAACACAUGCAAGUCGAACGAGGCCUUCGGGCCUAGUGGCGGACGGGUGAGUAACACGUGGGAACGUGCCCCUUGGUACGGAAUAACUCAGGGAAACUUGAGCUAAUACCGUAUGUGCCCUUCGGGGGAAAGAUUUAUCGCCAUUGGAGCGGCCCGCGUCUGAUUAGCUAGUUGGUGAGGUAAAAGCUCACCAAGGCGACGAUCAGUAGCUGGUCUGAGAGGAUGACCAGCCACAUUGGGACUGAGACACGGCCCAAACUCCUACGGGAGGCAGCAGUGGGGAAUCUUGCGCAAUGGGCGAAAGCCUGACGCAGCCAUGCCGCGUGGAUGAUGAAGGUCUUAGGAUUGUAAAAUCCUUUCACCGGGGACGAUAAUAACGGUACCCGGAGAAGAAGCCCCGGCUAACUUCGUGCCAGCCGCCGCGGUAAGAC
rnacentral:rRNA from 1 species